AUACUUACCUGGACGGGGUCAAUAGGUGAUCAAAGAGGCCUAUGGCCUAGGCUAGUGACCUCCAUUGCACCUAGGAGGGGUGCUAGCUUAAGGUCUACUCAAGUGGUGGAGCCUACGUCAUAAUUUGUGGUAGCGGGGGCCUGCGUUCGCGCGGCCCCUGU